UGGCCGUGUUGCAACUGGCGAUGAGGUGGGACACCACCGGGGAGUAACACGAGCGAAGACCUCACGAUCGUACGCCUGGGACGAGAGG
rnacentral:ncRNA from 2 species